AUAUGGGUAUUGUAGCUGAAACGUCUUGCGAGCUGAGUCAGGGUCGGGGAAGCUGUGAUGGCAAUGAGAAGUCAACACACUGAGGAUGGAGAGAAAGAAGAUGAGUCUGGGAGAGAAAGAGAAUGAUUCUUCUGGCCGAGGGAAAGCAAGAAUAUCUGUUCCUGCAACUGCACUGAUUCUAGAAACACUCUCUAUUCGAACUCUCAUGAGAUGAAAAAACUGAGGUAUAGGAUGAUACAACUGGGCCAGGCAUGGUGGCUCACAUCUGUAAUACCAGCACUUUGGGAGGCCAAGGGAGGAGGAUCACUUGAACCCAGGUGUUUGAGACCAGCCUGAGAAAAACAGGAAGAACUCAUCUCUACAAAAAAAUUAUCUAGUGCUGACCUGCUUGGUGAAUGCUGGGAUCUCUGGAAGAGGGAGGCAGACAUCACACACCAGCUGGCAAGUGGGAGCUGGCAUGCAACAUGCCCCAAUACCACUCCCCUCCUGCCAUCCCUAUCUCCUAAUGGUGCCUCCUUUUGGCCAAACCCACCUUUGGCUGGAGGGCAACAGAGCCCAUUGACGUGGUCCCCUUGCAUCUGCUACCUGGGGAGAAAAGCAGGAUGGACACUGAAUCUAGAGAAAUGAAGAAACCCAUCCAGAAGAAUACUGCUUCUUUAUGUUUUUGUAGGUGUACAAAUCAGGCCUCCCCAUGAUAUUCUAAACUCCUUGAGGAAAGAAGUGGAGUCCUGGGCUUCUGAUGUAGCCUCCACAGUGCUCAGGGGAUAGCGACACUGGCACCCUAUAGAUAUUUAAUUACAUGUGGACUGGAAGAGACCAAACAGCUUCCUGGUAUUUCAAUCAAACCCGGUGCUCUAGACCUGUGGCUCACUCUGAGCAAACUAUAAUGAGUUGAACUUGAAUCUGAUUCCUGCUAAGAAAGGUUUCAUUUUAAUAGGCAGUAAGGCUAUGAGCUAACACCAGAAUUCAUUCGAGUUACUAGACUCACUGAAACUCCUCACAGGAUCCAUCUUUCAUGUUUUCUAGAUUUUGGUAUUCUUAUCUAAACUGCAGACCCAGAAACCCUAUGGACCCUACCUUUCCAAUUAUAUUUCUGGGAAGAGUCAUUCUCUGCAGAGCUGAAGCAUGUAACAGAAAGUUCUCAACCUGAAAAAUAUACCUUCUGCGCCCAAGCCCCACUUUCUGCCACUAUUUGGUAAUCUCAAGUGGGUGAGGUGGUCUCUGAACUUCAGCGCUCUCAUGGUCAGAGCCACAAGGGGUUACUGGGAGGCUAAAGGGAAGUGGCAAACGUGGCUGAGAUUCAGAAAGAAAAGCAGCAAGUGUAGAGAGGCAAGGACUUUUCCAUCUUUUAAAUUCCUUAAAGGAAGCCAAAGUUCAUUUUCCAGUCUCCUUCAGAUGCCUCUCCAAUCCUUCACAGCAGCGCACACAUACCGCAGAAGGAACUCACCAUCACAAAAAGAUGACAGAGCACUGGGGGCUGGGGUGCCACUUGUGUUGGCUGAGAGCCUGGAUGCAUGUGAGGUCAAGCCUGACCUUGGGAAAGCUGCUCUCUGGACAUUACUUGCUGUGCCACAUACACAGCUUGGGUUUCUGAGGAAACAACACAGGCUCUAAGGAGGAACUGGAACGGGGCCCAGGGUAUAUCUUUUACAGCCCGUACUUUUGAGGAAAAUAGAAGACAAAAGGUUUUUAAAAAACACAAAGUGUAUACACGUAUACACAAAGUUUACAAGUUUGUGUGUUUUAACAUCUACUCUCCUUAAGAACAAGUAGACAGGAAAGAUAUUACCUGAUAUGGGUUAAAUUGUGUCCCCAAAAACAUGUUUUGAAGUGCUAACCUUUGGUACCUGUGGAUAUGACCUUACUUGGAAAUAGGUUUUUGCAGACGUAACCAAGUUAAGAUGAGGUCAUAUUUGAUUAGGCUGAACCCUGAAUCCAGUAUGACUGGGGUCCUUAUAUAAACAAGAGAGACACACGCAGAGUGAAGAUGAUGUGUUGAAACACAGGAACAGUGUCAUGGGAUGCUGGGGACAGCAGUUGGAGUGAUGCAUCUAUGGGCCAAGGGAAUGCCAAGGAUUGCCAGCCAUCACCAGGACAGAAGCAUGGGUACUGAUGCCCUCACAGAGCCCUUGAAGAGAGUCAACCCUGCUGACACCUUGAUUUCAGACUUCCAGCCUCCAGAACUAAGUUCCUCACAGGAAGUGUUUGGCAGGCAGCUCAGGCCCCUGCUGAGAUGGAGAAUCUAGCAAACCUGUCCCGCUGAUUGAUUAAACACUGAGGAGGCUCCAAGACCCAAGCGUGAAAUUCCUUGGCUCUGAUUGUGCUAAGGGUAGAGCUCACUAAUGAAUGGAGUCUGAUUACAGCCCAGCCUCUCCAGUGCCUCCUGUUGCCCCAAUUUGGGGGAUUCUUCUGCUUCGAGUACAUCAUGGAAAGCAGCACAGAGUUCUCAGCAGGAUCUGCGAUGUCUGAUCCAAGAAAGAUUUUUGUUGUUGUCGUCAUUGUUGUUUUUUAAUCCUGAUCAUUGCUCUCAAACCCUUCUCUACACAGCUUGGCGUGGGGGGUAGUUGAUUUCCAGUGAAACCGGGUGGAAGCAGUGCCACUGCCACCUGUGAGGAGGAAAUGGGCAACAGUCGGCUUCAUCCGUCCUGAACGCUCAGGCCUGAAUGUUCCAAACUGAUGCUAAACUGAGACUCUCUGAAGGCCCAUGGGGAAGCCUGGCAUUGUGUAGCCAUUUCUUCCAGCAAGGCUCUCCCCUCACAUUCACAGCCUGCCACUUAAAGCUUUGGGAGACAAUGUAGUUGACCUGUAGUUCUUCCUGUAUGUGGCUCCUGGUCAGUCACUGGGCAAGGAGGAGGCUGCAGGCAUUGUGCUAUCCCCUUAUCUCUCUCUCUGUCUGUCUCUUAUCUAGUUCAAAUCAGCAAAUGGAGCUUGGUCCUUCGUUUGUAAAGUAAGGGGGUGGAAAAUUAUCCCUAAGUUACCUCCUGGUUUAGAAAAGUCUUAAUGCUGUUUUAUAAUAACUCACCCACCUCUCCUCUUCCAUGAGCUCAGAGCGGCCCAGCCCUUGGAAUGUGUUUCUGCCACGACAAGGAAUACAGGAGGAGUUGAACAGGAAACCUGCCUCCUAUCAGAUUCACCUGAGGACGUGGGUUGUCACGAGCUCCCCAAACAAUAAAGCACUUUACGACAUAGGAGGCAUUAUUAUUAAGCUGUUUUCAGUCCCUGAUACCUGCAUGUUGUAGGACCAUGGUGCAUGAAGGAUUUUAAGGAGGCACUUUUGAAAUGUGAAAGGGACAUAGACUGUACAUCUGGAGCACAAAGGCAGGUUUAACCAGCUUUGUCCUGCUCGGCGCCAGUUGGAAGAGAGCAUCUGGCUUUGAAGUGUCUAAAGCCAGGCGUGACGCUGGAUUCUACAGCUGGUAUGUGUUUCCUUAGACUUUCUGAGGGAAAGAGAAAGGAGUGAGAAGGGAAUGUGGAACUAAUUCCCACAUUAAUUGAAGACAAUAAGGAGACAGCAGAAUACUUGCUUCAGUCAUGAGGCCCCUGGAACAGAAGAACUAUGUCACAUACCAAAGGACAGCAUAACCCACAAUAAGCCCCCACCUCAAAACCCACAGACUAUUACCCCAUACUGUGGCAUAAACUUGAGAUGCAUAAUUGUAUUAAGCCGGUGUCUUCUGUGACUUGUGCUUGACCCCUGCCUAACCUCCAGGUAAAGGAAAAGUGAGAGCCAUGGCUCCAUGACUAACUCCCUUCCCUCUGCCCUGUUGGAUUCCCUGGCAAUCUGCAGGAGUGUUCUGAGACAGAGGCUGCAGUGGUCUCUGGGCCACUCCAGAGGAAUAGUGACCCUGAGUAUGGUGUCAAGGUUGGAUAAGGGGGCUUAGAGCACCUCACUAAAAGCCUUCCUUUCCUGUCUGAUUGCAUACAGCCAGGGCAAAGCUGGUGGGGUAGGGCUAAGGACCUUUCAUACCUAAAAGACCUCUGUAGUUCAUCUUGGUUACAACAUAUUUCUUCCACUUCCUUUCCUACCCCAAAUGAAAAUUCCACCUUCCUGGACUCAUUCUCAGGAGCAUUUAUUUACAUUUUAUUUUAAGAUAAUUGUAGCUUGACAUGUAAUCGUGAGAGAUAAAACAGAGAGACCCU
ensembl:lncRNA LINC01630 long intergenic non-protein coding RNA 1630